GGACGUGCAAUGCUGCCAGUGCUGCCCAGGCACAGGGAUGACUCUGCUGCCCUCCUUCCUGCGGGAAGGCUGCAAGACUGCAGGAUCAGCCCUGUCUCAGGCACAACAGCAUCAGAGCAGAGAGCAUUGCAGCCCUUAGCUCCACUGUUCUGCAGAGAUGGCAUGUGGUUUCCUCUGCAAUAACAGCCUGACUUCAGCAUCUUCAGGGAUGCAGCUUUGGAGAAGAGCAGGCUGCAAAAGCAGGCUGGACCAGCAGAGCCUAUGCUGGAGCAGCUCCAUCCCUGUCUCUGCUGUGGGCUAAGAGCUGCAGCACGCCGAGCCCUGGGGCAGCUGUGAUGUCCAUUCCACCCGGGGGUUUGUGGCACGGUGCAGCAUCGCUGUGGUGGAAGAGCAGUGGAUCCUGAGGAGAGGAGCCCAGCAGGGAUGCUCAGUGCCACACGGGGCCACCAGCACAGCCGGGAGCCCAGGGGACAGUCCCGCGGUGCUUCAUUUAAUGUAUCACAGAAUCACUCAGGUUGGAGAAAACACGAAGAUCUUCUAGUCCAACCGUCAGCCCAUCACCCACGGAGGUGACAAGGAGAACACGCCAUCGCGUGGGGUUGGCGAGCUCCCGGGGAACCCCGUGCUGUAACCAGGAGGACUCCACUCACCGCUGCCUCCCGCCCCGCGCCGCUCAGCCCUUAAAGCAUCUCCCCAUCCGCAAACACAGCGGCUGAAACCCGAGCACGAAGGCGGGCGGGGGCGCGGGGUGGCUCCGGCCCUGGCGCCGCUCAUUGGCUCCGCUCCGCGUCCCGCGUUGGCCUUUGGCAGUCCGAGGGCACACAGCCCGCGUCCCCCCCUGACCGCUGCCCUAAUGACACGGCUCGCCCUCCCAAAGGGCAUGUGCAAGCUUCUCCUUGUUAUACUUUACCUAGGCUCUGUUAUCCCCGGGGCUGACGCUGGCGUGGGAGCGGGGUUGGGGUCAGCACGCUCAGCCCCAUAGAGGGAAGGCUUGCGGGACUCCUCCUCUUGCAACGGCCUCAGCUGCCUGCCCCUCUUUGAGGAACGUCAGGAAAUUUCUGGUGCCUGAGAUUAUGAGGGGUGGAGAGAGCAAAAACCAGCUUGUCAGGCACGGCUGGCCGUAUCACGGGACAGAGAGCGUCAUUGCUUGGGGACGUUGGCUCCUUCGGGGCUGGGGCUGGAGGGCAGCGGUUGGAGGAGGGCCUAUCUGCCCUGGCAGAGGGCUGAGAGCUGCAAACCGUGGCCAACACGUCUUCAGUUAGAAGAACCAGCGGGCCUUGAGCUCUGCCAGCCCUCCUGCUUGCAAAACUCAGGUUCUGAUUUAGAGGGAAGUCACAACCAAUUGAUAGUGAAACUGCACGUUGCUCUGCAAAGAACCAGAGAAGGGAGCGUGCACGCAGCGAGCGCUGCAUCCUCUUCACACCACCUGGGCAGGACACGCUCCAUCCCCACCUGAUCGACUUCUGAGGAGGCAGAACAAAGCAGAGAGACAUCUUGUCCUCCUUUGCCGACCCCUGGGGGCUCUCCAUUCUAUAGGGGAAAAGCAACAACCAGCACAGAGAAGUGCUGGGGCUGUGCAAAAGCCCAGAGCAGGCAGGAGCAGAGGGAGCAUCCAAGCACCACCACGCAG
ensembl:lncRNA